rnacentral:rRNA from 2 species
CCUUACCUACCCUUGACAUGGUCGGAAUCCUGAAGAGAUUCGGGAGUGCUCGAAAGAGAACCGGCGCACAGGUGCUGCAUGGCUGUCGUCAGCUCGUGUCGUGAGAUGUUGGGUUAAGUCCCGCAACGAGCGCAACCCUUGUCCUUAGUUGCUACGCAAGAGCACUCUAAGGAGACUGCCGGUGACAAACCGGAGGAAGGUGGGGAUGACGUCAAGUCCUCAUGGCCCUUAUGGGUAGGGCUUCACACGUCAUACAAUGGUCGGAACAGAGGGUUGCCAACCCGCGAGGGGGAGCUAAUCCCAGAAAACCGAUCGUAGUCCGGAUUGCACUCUGCAACUCGAGUGCAUGAAGCUGGAAUCGCUAGUAAUCGCGGAUCAG